AGCUGACGGUAGGCAAAACAUGGCUCUCUAAAGAAGUUGGUCCAUGUUUCAAGCAUUGUUUCAAGACUUUCAAAAGUGGUAAACAGUGUUCAAGGAAGUGAUAAGUUCAGGUGUUUUAUUUUAUCGGUGUGGUAAUAAUUAUUAUGGUGACUUCAUGCUGUGCUUUUGGCUGCACAGAGCGCCAAAAAAAGGCAAUAACAUUUCAUUUCAUCGCUUUCCUCAAGAUAUGGAGUUGAAAAAAAAAUGGGUCAUUGCUUUAAAAAGAAAAAACUUUAACCCAACCACGGCUUCAAGGGUCUGUAGUAAACAUUUUGAGAAGAAGGACUUUGUUUUUCAAUUCGGAAAAUUGAUAUUGAUGACAAAUGCCGUGCCUUCGAUUUUUGCUUUCCCGGAUCACUUACAGAAAAAGCGAACGGCCAGAAGAGUUCUCGUCAGAAAUGAAAUUUUAACCAAUAAACCUGACGAUGUUCCAGGCUCAAGUAGUUAUAAUGAGGUUUUAGAACCUGUUACUCCUUUACAAGAGCCUCAAGAAAUUACCUCGUCUGUUAUUGCGCCGGUUAACAAUGAAAUGCUGAACAUUAG